rnacentral:Y_RNA from 1 species
GGCUGGUCCGAAGGUAGUGAGUUAUCUCACUUGAUUGUUCAGUCAGUUACAGAUUGAACUCCUUAUUCUACUACUUCCCCCUUCUCACUACUGCACUUAAGUAGUCUUAA